rnacentral:rRNA from 1 species
CCUACGGGUGGCUGCAGUAAGGAAUAUUGGGCAAUGGAGGCAACUCUGACCCAGCCAUCCCGCGUGAAGGAUUAAGGCCCUAUGGGUUGUAAACUUCUUUUGUUUGGGAAGAAAUCAGGACAUUUAUGUGCUGUUGACGGUACCUUACGAAUAAGCACCGGCUAACUCCGUGCCAGCAGCCGCGGUAAUACGGAGGGUGCAAGCGUUAUCCGGAAUCACUGGGUUUAAAGGGUGCGUAGGCGGUUCGAUAAGUCAGAGGUGAAAGCUAGCAGCUU